UUGAUAGUACCUUACUACUUGGAUACCUGUGGUAAUUCUAGAGCUAAUACAUGCUAAAAACCCCAACUUCGGGAGGGGUGUAUUUAUUAGAUAAAAAACCAAUGCCCCUCGGGGCUCCUUGGUGAUUCAUAAUAACUUCUCAGAUCGCAUGGCCUUGCGCCGGCGACGGUUCAUUCAAAUUUCUGCCCUAUCAACUUUCGAUGGUAAGGUAGUGGCUUACCAUGGUUUCAACGGGUAACGGGGAAUUAGGGUUCGAUUCCGGAGAGGGAGCCUGAGAAACGGCUACCACAUCCAAGGAAGGCAGCAGGCGCGCAAAUUACCCAAUUCCGAUACGGAGAGGUAGUGACAAUAAAUACUGAUACAGGGCUCUUUUGGGUCUUGUAAUUGGAAUGAGUACAAUUUAAACCUCUUAACGAGGAACAAUUGGAGGGCAAGUCUGGUGCCAGCAGCCGCGGUAAUUCCAGCUCCAAUAGCGUAUAUUAAAGUUGUUGCAGUUAAAAAGCUCGUAGUUGAACCUUUGGCCUGGCUGGCAGGUCCGCCUCACCGCGUGCACUUGUCCGGCCGGGCCUUUUCUUCUGGGCAACCGCAUGCCCUUCACUGGGUGUGUUGGGGACCAGGACUUUUUACUUUGAAAAAAUUAGAGUGUUCAAAGCAGGCCUUUGCUCGAAUACGUUAGCAUGGAAUAAUAGAAUAGGACGUGCGGUCCUAUUUUGUUGGUUCUAGGACCGCCGUAAUGAUUAAUAGGGACAGUCGGGGGCAUCAGUAUUCAAUUGUCAGAGGUGAAAUUCUUGGAUUUAUUGAAGACUAACUACUGCGAAAGCAUUUGCCAAGGAUGUUUUCAUUAAUCAGUGAACGAAAGUUAGGGGAUCGAAGACGAUCAGAUACCGUCGUAGU
rnacentral:rRNA from 1 species